rnacentral:Y_RNA from 1 species
UGGCAGUCCAAUGGUGGUGGGUUGUCCGAACUUAUUGACAUUAAUGUCACUAAAGUUGGUAUACAAGACCCCACUACUAAAUCUGACAGGCUAAA